rnacentral:rRNA from 1 species
GACGAACCGUGCGAACGUUGUUCGGAAUUACUGGGCGUAAAGGGCGCGUAGGCGGCCUUCUAAGUCGGACGUGAAAUCCCUCGGCUUAACCGAGGAACUGCGUCCGAUACUGAAAGGCUUGAAUCCGGGAGAGGGAUGUGGAAUUCCAGGUGUAGCGGUGAAAUGCGUAGAUAUCUGGAGGAACACCGGUGGCGAAGGCGGCAUCCUGGACCGGUAUUGACGCUGAGGCGCGAAAGCGUGGGGAGCAAACAGG